rnacentral:rRNA from 1 species
UUCGCAAUGCCCGAAAGGGUGACGAAGCGACGCCGCGUGCGGGAAGAAGGCCUUCGGGUUGUAAACCGCUGUCGGGAGUUAGGAAAUGCAAGGAUGUUAAUAGCGUCUUUGCUUGACUAAGGCUCCGGAGGAAGCCACGGCUAACUCUGUGCCAGCAGCCGCGGUAAUACAGAGGCGGCAAGCGUUGUUCGGAAUUAUUGGGCGUAAAGAGCACGUAGGCGGCCGUGUAAGUCGGUUGUGAAAGCCUUCCGCUCAACGGGAGAACGGCAUCCGAUACUGCAUGGCUUGAGUGCGGGAGGGGAGAGUGGAACUUCUGGUGGAGCGGUGAAAUGCGUAGAUAUCAGAAGGAACACCGGCGGCGAAGGCGACUCUCUGGCCCGUAACUGACGCUGAGUGUGCGAAAGCUAGGGGAGCAAACGGGAUUAGAUACCCCGGUAGUCCUAGCCGUAAACGAUGGGCACUAAGUAGAGGGGUUUU